AUAGAAACCACCCUGAAUGCACCUGAUCUCUCCUGAUCUCAUCUGAUUUGGAAGCUAAGCAGGGUCAGGCCUGGUUAGUACUUAGAUGGGAGAAACUCUCUGGGUACGUAAGAAACCUAAU
rnacentral:rRNA from 1 species